rnacentral:tRNA from 1 species
GCCGGGGUAGCUCAGGGGCAGAGCGAGGGUCUCAUAAUCCCUAGGUCGCCGGUUCGAAUCCGGCCCCCGGCACCA